UUCCUUGUCGGGUAAGUUCCGACCUGCACGAAUGGUGUAACCAUGGCCUCGCUGUCUCCACCCGAGACUCAGUGAAAUUGAAAUUGCAGUGAAGAUGCUGUGUACCCGCACCUAGACGGAAAGACCCCGUGAACCUUUACUAUAGCUUGGCACUGAACAUUGACCCUACAUGUGUAGGAUAGGUGGGAGACUAUGAAGCAUUGUCGCCAGAUGAUGUGGAGUCUACCUUGAAAUACCACCCUUGUACGUUUGAUGUUCUAACAUUGCGCCCUUAUCGGGCGUGUGGACAGUGUCUGGUGGGUAGUUUGACUGGGGCGGUCUCCUCCCAAAGCGUAACGGAGGAGCACGAAGGUUGGCUAAUCCUGGUCGGACAUCAGGAGGUUAGUGCAAUGGCAUAAGCCAGCUUAACUGCGAGACAGACACGUCGAGCAGGUACGAAAGUAGGUCAUAGUGAUCCGGUGGUUCUGAAUGGAAGGGCCAUCGCUCAACGGAUAAAAGGUACUCCGGGGAUAACAGGCUGAUACCGCCCAAGAGUUCAUAUCGACGGCGGUGUUUGGCACCUCGAUGUCGGCUC
rnacentral:rRNA from 16 species